CCCCAGGUCACCAUCUGUAAGAUAAGAGGAAUGGGAUUAGAACAGCCAUUCUUAACCUUUAACAUACAGUAGAAUUGCAUGUGAAGCUUUUUGGAAAAAAAAGCAAUCCUGGGAUCUCACCCCAAGAUAUUUCAAAAGCUUCUAAGGUGAGUUUGUUGCUUGACAGGCGUUAGGAAUUUCAGGGCUUACGUGUUCUUUAGGUUUCCUUCUAGAUCUGACAUCCAAUGAGGUAAAUUUAUUUACCAGUGCAUUUUGCCUAGACCCAUCCCUGUGGCUUUUGGUGAAGUCCUGCUGUCUGUGGUCAGUAAUUACAUCAAAUGUGAGGUCCUUGUCAUGAUGCUCUGGAUACAGCAAUUGCUGGUGGCAGUGGUCCUGGGUGCCUGACUUGGCCUCAUUGUGAGUCAUAGAAAUAACCAAGAGCAAUUUGCCUUCCCAAAUACUUCCCUCUCUACUGAGGACAGAAAUAACUGAAAAUAAGGAACAAGCUAUGUGAGUAAAUAGCAUACGUAUGGUGUAUUCCUAAGCACUGAAAUCUGUGACUGUGUGUGUGUGAAAGAGAGACAGAGGGAGAGGGGCAGAUGGAGAGAGAAUGCUUGAUGUUUUAAAAGCCCGUUUCCCCCUAGACAGCUGGUCAAAUUCCUAUCUUGUGAGGCUACUUUAAACAAGAUGGGAAGAGAUACCAAAUACUUUUAGGGGAAGUCUUGAGUUCCGUACUUUCUGUUUACAAGAAAAAUGUAGACAUUUGACCUUCUCCUUGAGUAUUAGCAGUUCGUCACUCCCAUUCCUUUUUAUCUCUCUUGAGCUGCCAAACUCCUUCCUAAAGUGGGAGAAGGCGAAGCUAAAAUUAUAAGCCUGGCCUCCACUUAAGAAAAAAUAGAGAAAGAAACCUCACAAAUGUAAAUGAAUUAACACUCACUGUUACCUAAUAUGCAGUGUUCAAAACAGCAGGGAGAGUUGCUUGCUUCCUAUUUUAGUUUAGUUACAAAAUCAGUCUUCAGCGCAUGGUUUUGUGGCCAUCUUAUGAGCGUGUGUGCUAACUCACUUCAGUCAUGUCUGACUCUUUGUGACCCCAUGGACGGUAGCCCGAAAGUCUCCUCUGUCCAUAUAAUUCCCCAUUCAAGAAUACUGGAGUGGGUUGCCAUGCCCUCUCCUCAAAGCUUCCUUUUACUAGGUAUGAAAUCAUUUUAUUCCAUAAAUCUUAUAACAUUUUGGCUUUUGAGUUUACUUUAUCUAAUGAUUUUCAUGUCUUAUUUCCCUUCAUCCCACUUAUCUUUAUGCACAAUUUUCUGCUGUAUAGUUUUUCACAUUUUAGUAUCUCUGAAAUCAGGAAGCACCUCACAACCAGUGGUAUCUGAAGUUCAGUGAAAUAUGUUCAGUGGCGUUAAGUGUAUUCACGUGGCUGUGAAUACAUCACCGUUAUCCAUCUCCAGAAGGAUGAUCAAAUCGCACUGUAGAAAUUCAAUACCUCCAAGAUGUCAGAGAGCAGAAAGAAUUAUAUAUGGACAACUGUUGAAGAGGUUGCUAAAGUAUGCCAGCUAGAGGUCAAGAGUCCCCUUCUGCCCCCGUGACUCUCAGACACUUGCUGAUCUUCUUGUAAAUGCUCUUCCUAAUGCCAUCUAAAAUUUUUGCUUUAUUGGACCAACCCUACAUUCUUAAUCUCUACAGAAUUACCCUUCUCUUCCUUGCCUUAACUAAAAUUUGGUUUUUUGUUUUGUUUUGUUCUCUCAAGAAUUCACUUCUACUGACCCCCUUGAGCAGAGGUAAUUGAUCAUCCCACUGGACUAGAACUAAUCCACUUAAAAACCAUUUCUAGCCACCUCCCUCUUCCUUUGAGGACCAUCCAACCCUCCCCCUCAUCUUCCAGGCUUCAUUUAUUCUUCCCUCUUCGAAUUAUACUCUACUGAAUGUUUUUGGCAAUUAUCAUUUAGAUGCUAAAUCCAAUGGGUUUCAUGUUUUAACUUGGGACAUUUGAUUCUAUUGACCCAUUGUUUCUUCACAGAUUCUCCAGAAAUUAUUUUUUCCUGUUUCUCUUCAUAUGCCUCUGGCCAUUCUUCUCAAUCUCUUUUGCAAAUUCUUCCUACCCCCACUUCUUAAAUAUUUUCUGUUUGCAGCUGGCCUGUUUGAAUCAAGAUCUGGACAAGGUCCACACACUGCAUGUAGUUGAAGCCUCUUGGAAAAAAUCUUCAGGUCCCUGCGCCUUUUAACACAGGCACAUCCAGCAAAAGCAGAUGAGAACCUGGCUCUGUUUCAAAGACGCUUCUGCUGGUUUAGAGAGCGGGUCGCGAAAAUUCAGCUGCGGCGCCAUCUUCUGGAAGCGCCGCGACGCUGCAAGGAGCUUGCCGGGGAAGGAGGAGACAGGUUGCAGGUGAACGUCCGGCCCUUUGCCCAGAGAAGGCUCUGACACCAAGGGACAGUGAAGAGUCACUGAAGGUUUCCGAGUGAGGGAGUGAAAAUGAGCCCCAUCGUUGCCUGCAUCUGAGAAUGAGGAGCAGUGCCGGGCCUGCAGGGAGACACGUGGAGGUACUCCCUCCUUCAGAACUGGCGGCCUGGCUGACAGGUGCAAAAGCAAGUAACAGUAGUGAGUGCUUGGCUAAGCGUGGGGGAACGAAAAGGAAUCAGUGUGAGAGAACGUGGAGGGGCUUCUCUGGUGGCUCAGUGGUGAAGAGCCUACCGGCUAAUGCA